GCCUCUUUGAAAAUAAAAGGAAAAAUCAAAGUAUUUUAAUGAACUACAUUCCAUGACCUUUUGCUGGCCUUUUUCUCAAACUAACAUCAUCCUCUUACAUAGUACUGCCUCAUGGGUAAUAAGGUUAGAAGCCUAUGCUGGCAAUUUCUUUCUCCUUUUCUAGCAUAUUUUGUGCAGCUACUCCAGCUAAAUACAAUUACUGUACACAGCGGAGCGGAGCGGCGAGGAUCCGCAGGGACUGCCAGUAAACAAGAUGCAGUCAGGAGGUGCGAGAGAAUUGUUCUACUGCUACCUAAUUUAAUUGGCGCUGCCUCCCUGGCCAGCCCCGGGUGACCAUUACACAGAAUCCGUGUAGACGAUGUGGUUAAAACCGCUGGAGGCCACAGAGAUUCAUCUUAUUUCUGUUAUUUUCUCCCGACAGACGCUGUUUUCUCAUUCUCUUUGUCACAAAUGAAGACUACAUUGAGAUAGAGAAAGGUUAUCUACUGCAGUGACAGGUUCAUGAAUGCUACAGCAGCAAUACAGAAUAAACAGAGAUGGAAGCAGACAGGGAGUGACGUUACAGUGUCACUGGCAGACAGAGAGCGCAGCCACUGCUAUAUGAGACUGUAUGACCCCGACUGGGGCAUGGAGCCAAAGAUACUCAGAAGCAGUGUCCAACUGCUUCUGUUCCCACUGUGAUUAAAAGCAAAAGCCCCAGCUUGAGCUGCUAGGACAGACAAGACUUGUUAAUCCAGAUUGCAGCCGUUGGCAACAGGAGAAAGAGCUGCGAGGUGUGUGGACCCUCAAAGGACUCAAAGACACAGACCUCAUGCAGCAACUGCAAAAACUAGUACACAUCUGUAGUACACAUAUGCCCAAAUUCUGUCCAUCAUGUGUUGUGUAGACAGGCAUGCCCAUGCACACACACAAUUUUAUGUUAUUUCAGAUUUAUUUGAGAGAUGUUCAUGUUUUGCGUUUCUAUUUGUUGUUCAUCACCUGUAUUUGCUUUAUGGCUUUGAUUAUAAUAAAACAAAGGAGAUAAUCAACUGAGAAUAUCAGUUCAAAAUAAUAAACAUCAAUGAAAACUGUUUCAGUUCAAUUUUUCCUAGAUAAACAUGAUUUAUGAUGCCCAAGUCUUUAUUAUAGUGGAUUUUUUUUUCUUUUACAUAAAUUAUAACUUUAUCACAAAAAAAUGAAUGACACUUCCAUUGGUAAAUGUGAUGUAGCAGAGAUUAAUUGCAAACAUUAAUCAUAUAUGAUAUCUAUAUUGUUUAGAUUUGAGAUAUACGAUAUAUGUUAAGGGUUUUUUAAAAAUGCAUUUUUAAAAUUUAUUUCUGUAUUGCUUUUAAAACCCAAAUAAUGUCCCGGGUCAAUUUGAGGGUCCAAGAAGUGAACACCACACAAGGGUUAAAUGAAAAUGCAGUUUGUAGAUCUAUCCUGAUUAAUGUGGACGUACCCUAAAGAAAAAUAUUAGUUACAUUUGCCUAUAUUCAAC